rnacentral:rRNA from 1 species
CCUACGGGUGGCUGCAGUGGGGAAUAUUGCACAAUGGGGGAAACCCUGAUGCAGCAACGCCGCGUGAGUGACGCAGUCUCUCGGUCUGUAAAGCUCCAUCAGCAGGGAAGAAGAUGACGGUACCUGAGUAAGAAGCCCCGGCCAACUACGUGCCAGCGGCCGUGGUAAUACGUAGGGGGCAAGCGUUAUCCGGAUUUACUGGGGGUAAAGGGAGCGUAGACGGUGGGUCAAGUCUGAAGUGAAAGUCCGGGGGUAAACCCCGGGACUGCUUUGGAAACUGGCUGACUGGAGUGCUGGAGAGGCAAGCGGAAUUCCUAGUGUAGCGGUGAAAUGCGUAGAUAUUAGGAAGAACACC